rnacentral:lncRNA from 1 species
AGGAUCGUCGGGCACUUUGUGCCUGCGGCGCGCGAUAUUGCCCCCAGUUUCUUAAAACAUACAACAUAUGCUACUAUGAGGUUUUUUCUUCGAUGUAAGUGAUUAUCAAAGGGAAACAUAUCAUCAAUACUCGCGAGCGUCGGGGCUCGGAGUGUGCCGACACACGUCGAAUGCAAAUCGAGAACUCGAGGCCCUUCGAGAUGUGGCUCUAUGCCCAUUUGGUUGAAACAUAUAUGAUUUUUAAUUUGAUGUAAGUGAUUAACAAAGGGAACCAUAUAUGAUUUUGAAUUUGAUGUGAGUGAUUUGAAUUUGAUGUGAGUGAUUAUCAAUGAGAAAUAUAUUAUCUACAAUUGCGAGCGUCGGGUUGGGCGCGUGCCGACACACGUCGAAUGCAAAUCGAGAACGCGAGGCCCUUCGAGAUGUGGAUUUAUGCUCUCAUUUGGUUGAAACAUAUAUGAUUUUUAACUACAAGAUUUUUUUUUCUCCGAUGCCGGUGUUUGACAAGGCAUAACCUAACAUCAAAAUCAAAACACUCGGACGUCGGGUGCCGAUGAAAUUAUUUUUUUUAUUUUUUUUAUUUAUUUUUUUUACAUAAAAUAACUUUAUUAGACUUAAUUUAUUGUUGAUAUGUUGAUUAUACUAUUUUUAUAAUUUUUUUUAUGAAGAAAAU